ACUCAAAGAAAUUGACGGGGGCCCGCACAAGCGGCGGAGCAUGUGGAUUAAUUCGAUGCAACGCGAAGAACCUUACCUGGGUUUGACAUGCACAGGACGCUGGUAGAGAUAUCAGUUCCCUUGUGGUCUGUGUGCAGGUGGUGCAUGGCUGUCGUCAGCUCGUGUCGUGAGAUGUUGGGUUAAGUCCCGCAACGAGCGCAACCCUUGUCCUAUGUUGCCAGCGGGUUAU
rnacentral:rRNA from 1 species